AAAAGUGUUAAAGGGGCAUAUUAACGCAUUGAGAGACUUUAAAUAAUUAUUUUAAAUUUACGAUGCCUUUUUAGAACUCUAUAAGUUAAGUGUUAAAAACUCUUUAAUUGAUGUAAGGAGAACAUGGGUUUUAUAAAUAAAAAAGCAAUAAAAUCAUAUUCUAUUUACAAUUUUACAUGCUAAAGGUUGGAAAAUAUGACUAAAAUAGUAAAAUUUGUUUAUAUUAUGAUUAUUCUUCUUUCCUUAUUUAUUGUUUCAACAAGCUUUACUUAUAUUCAAUGUGCUCAUAAAGGUGAUUGUCCAAACCUAUUUUGCCCAUACCCUAAAAGAAUUAAGUGUAUUAAAGGUUUAUGUCUUUGUCAAUAAUUAUAAAGCUCCAUAGGUUAAAAGUGGCAGACCCAAGAGACUACACAUGCACACUGCUAAAAUAAUUAAUCCAUGAGUUGUUAUGUAGUUAUUGUGAUGAUAACCAAUAAUUUAAUUUAUUUUUUUUAGCUUUUAAAUUUUACGAACCUUGUUGUUUUGUACUUUAAUAUGAUGUAAUUUAAAUGAAAUAAAACAUCAAAGAAUAUUAUCUAGA